rnacentral:rRNA from 1 species
GACGAAUACUGGCUGCGUGCUUAACACAUGCAAGUCGAACGGUGAACCAGGGCUUGCCCUGGGGAUCAGUGGCGAACGGGUGAGUAACACGUGGGCAACCUGCCCCUCACUCUGGGAUAACUCCGGGAAACCGGGGCUAAUACCGGAUAUGACCUGGUGCGACAUCACACCAGGUGGAAAGAAUUUCGGUGAGGGAUGGGCCCACGGCCUAUCGGCUUGUUGGUGGGGUAACGGCCCACCAAGGCGACGACGGGUAGCCGGCCUGAGAGGGCGACCGGCCACACUGGGACUGAGACACGGCACAGACUCCUACGGGAGGCAGCAGUGGGGAAUAUUGCGCAAUGGGCGAAAGCCUGACGCAGCGACGCAGCGUGAGGGACGACGGCCUUCGGGUUGUAAACCUCUUUCAGCGGGGACGAAGCGAAAGUGACGGUACCCGCAGAAGAAGCACCGGCUAACUACGUGCCAGCCGCCGCCGUAAAAC